GACGAACGCUGGCGGCGUGCCUAAUACAUGCAAGUCGAGCGGAAUGAUGAAGAAGCUUGCUUCUUCUGAUUUUUAGCGGCGGACGGGUGAGUAACGCGUGGGCAACCUACCUUGUAGAUUGGGAUAACUCCGGGAAACCGGGGCUAAUACCGAAUAAUCCAUUUUGCUUCAUGGCGAGAUGUUGAAAGACGGUUUCGGCUGUCACUAUAAGAUGGGCCCGCGGCGCAUUAGCUAGUUGGUAGGGUAAUGGCCUACCAAGGCGACGAUGCGUAGCCGACCUGAGAGGGUGAUCGGCCACACUGGGACUGAGACACGGCCCAGACUCCUACGGGAGGCAGCAGUAGGGAAUCUUCCACAAUGGACGAAAGUCUGAUGGAGCAACGCCGCGUGAGUGAAGAAGGUUUUCGGAUCGUAAAACUCUGUUGUAAGGGAAGAACACGUACGAGAGUAACUGCUCGUACCUUGACGGUACCUUAUUAGAAAGCCACGGCUAACUACGUG
rnacentral:rRNA from 1 species